GAUGAAGAACGCAGCGAAAUGCGAUAAGUAAUGUGAAUUGCAGAAUUCAGUGAAUCAUCGAAUCUUUGAAUGCACAUUGCGCCCCCUGGUAUUCCGGGGGGCAUGCCUGUUCGAGCGUCAUUUCACCACUCAAGCCUCGCUUGGUAUUGGGCAACGCGGUCCGCCGCGUGCCUCAAAUCGACCGGCUGGGUCUUCUGUCCCCUAAGCGUUGUGGAAACUAUUCGCUAAAGGGUGUUCGGGAGGCUACGCCGUAAAACAACCCCAUUUCUAAGGUUGACCUCGGAUCAGGUAGGGAUACCCGCUGAACUUAAGCAUAUCAAUAAGCGGAGGA
rnacentral:misc_RNA from 1 species